AUUGAACGCUGGCGGCAGGCCUAACACAUGCAAGUCGAACGAGUGGCGGACGGGCGAGUAAUGUCUGGGAAACUGCCUGAUGGAGGGGGAUAACUACUGGAAACGGUAGCUAAUACCGCAUACCAUCGGAUGUGCCCAGAUGGGAUUAGCUAGUAGGUGGGGUAAAGGCUCACCUUGGCGACGAUCCAUAGCUGUUCUGAGAGGAUGACCAGCAAAACUGAAACUGAGACACGGUCCAGGCUCCUACGGGAGGCAGCAUGGGGGAAUAUUGAAAAAUGGGCGCAAGCCGGAUGCAGACAAGCCGGGUGUAUGAAGAAGGCGUUCGGGUUGUAAAGUACUUUCAGCGGGGAGGCGUUACCCGCAGAAGAAGCACCGGCUAACUCCGUGCCAGCAGCCGCGGUAAUAC
rnacentral:rRNA from 1 species